UACGUAGGGGACGAGCGUUGUCCGGAAUUACUGGGCGUAAAGGGCGCGCAGGCGGUGUAUCAAGUCAGCUGUCAAAGACUGGGGCUCAACCCUGGUAUGCGGUUGAAACUGAUAUGCUGGAGUGCUGUAGAGGCAAGUGGAAUUCCCAGUGUAGCGGUGAAAUGCGUAGAUAUUGGGAAGAACACCGGUGGCGAAGGCGACUUGCUGGGCAGCAACUGACGCUGAGGCGCGAAAGCCAGGGGAGCAAACGGGAUUAGA
rnacentral:rRNA from 1 species